UCAUUCUUCCUCCUAACCUAAAUCCGCCGCCGCCGCCGCUCGAGCUCUCUCCCGCCGUCCAGCUACGUGCUCUUCGGCCGGCGAGGCUGUGACCUCCUCUCCCGCUCGUUCCCCAGCGUCUCCACCGUCGACCCCACACCAUCCUGUCACGGCCACGCGCUGAAGUUCUGUUCCUCGGUGAGUGCUCUCUCGGGUCAGCCUGCGCGCGUAAGCUUCCAGCGAGGCUGCCGCCGCCCUGCCUGGCCCGUCCUCCCCCCUCUCCACCAUGGUAUCCACCAUGGCUGUCGGAGUACAGAAGAGAUCUUGGCGGCGGCGAGAGAGGGCUCGGGAUAGGGUUAAUGAGGGGCUUCAUAUAGAGAGAAGAAAAGAGGUCCUCGGCUCCUUCCCCUUCGGCCUUCCCCAGCCGGAUCGGCUCCCCUUCGGCCUUCCCCAGCCGGAUCUGCUCCCCUUCAUCCACCCUGACUCCCCGAGCUCCCCCCUCAGGAAUGUCUGAAGAGAGUUAUCCCCUAUGGGCACAUGGACAUUGCAUAAUCAGUCUUAUCAUGGGAAUAAUUUGCGUGCCUAAAGAAGGCGAAGCAAUCAGCCAAGCAAUGAAACUGGAGUCCAGUAAAGAGAAAUCUUCCAGUGACAAUCAAGAGUUGAAACAUAGACAUUCCAAAGGAGACAAGUCAUCCAACCAUCCAGCAGAAGUGUAGACAGUUUAAAGAAACCAACACUUGAUUCGGGCAAUAAUAGCGCAUCAGUUUCAUCUAGUUCUAUACAUAAGUUCACUGCCUGCUGGUCCAAAUUAUAUGGUCGUGAAGCUCGGCGUUGACAAGAGCAUCACCCUGUAGCUGUGCGUCCUUCUCUAACAAACACUCAAAGCACUACCAUGCCGUGCUGUGGGUACCGCCUCAUCGACCAAGGAUCUACGGUGACGGCGGCACCAACGACCCCAUGGAGGCGGCACCGAAACCCUAGCCGCUACUGCUCUCCCCUGAGUCCCCUCCUCAUCUCCUCCCUCGUGCGAUGCUCUGCUUCAUCUUUUCUCAAACCUCCACCAGUCAAAUUCGACCGGGAAAAAGAAACACCUACAUACAUAUCAUCGGAUGUUCAAGCAGGAGGAUGGAGCCAAUGGAAUAUGGAUCAAUGAGAUGAAGAAAGGUGUUGAUGUCAAGUACGAGAAUGAUGGAAGGAUCUUGUGGUUAUCUAGUUGCCCACCAGCAGUAGUCAAUGUAGAUGAUGUGCCUCUAGGGCAAAUUCUAGAAACCAAAGCGACCCAUUUUUGCUCUCAAACAGUGAACAUAUUUGUUCCCUAUUUAAUAAGUUAAAUUAUUUUAUGGGAAAUUUUGAUGUGAAAAUUAUUGAAUGUGUGUUAUUAUCGUUU